UACGGAGGAUGCGAGCGUUAUCCGGAUUUAUUGGGUUUAAAGGGUGCGUAGGCGGAAUAUCAAGUCAGCGGUAAAAAUUCGGGGCUCAACCCCGUCGUGCCGUUGAAACUGCAGUUCUUGAGUGAUGGAGAGGCAGGCGGAAUUCCCGGUGUAGCGGUGGAAUGCGUAGAUAUCGGGAGGAACACCAGUGGCGAAGGCGGCCUGCUGGACAUUAACUGACGCUGAGGCGCGAAAGCGUGGGGAGCAAACAGG
rnacentral:rRNA from 1 species